AUUCCAAUCAGCACGUGGCACUGUGACAUUUAUGAUGAUAUUAUUAUCACCAGUGUUAUUAGGACGUGUGGGCUGGAUAAUCAGCUGCUUUGCUCUGUACAGACGUUAGUAACGUCUGUGUAUUUUUGUUCAUUUUAUAAUUUCGUAAGCUCUUUUUAAAAAAAACGCUUUUCCUUUCUGAUGUGUCUUCACUAAAGAAUGUGUCCCCAAAAUAUGAAUAGAAAUUCAUAACAUCAAGAAGCGGCAAAAAACUAUGAAUUUCCUAUCUAGAUGAAGGAAUAAUAAUACAACACAUAAUAUGUGCCUGGUGUUGUGAAAAAUGAUGCAGCAAAAUAUAAGUAAUCUAGGGAUAGGAAAAAAUACCCUUUUAAUAGCUGAAAUUUUAUGUUAGAGUGUAUGGAAUAUGAAUAUCGAACAUUUUUUAAUAAGAAAAAAUAUGGCAACUGAUUAAAAUAACUUGAGAGUUAUAUUUUACAAAAUUAUGAUCCUGUGUUAUUUACACUUUCCAAAAGACCAUAGUUUGUGUGUUUGUGUUUAGACCGGUAGUAAAUAAAUGUUUUCAGGAUAAUAAAUAACUCUUACAUCUUGUUCUAAUUUUUUAUCACGGCAUUGUGAUUUAAUGAAAUCCAUAAUUCUUUCCUGUCGAUAUGACAAUAAAAGUAUAAAGAUAAAAUCACACUCAGAAUAUUGUUAGUGUAAGAAUUCUAGAUGUAAAGUAAAUGUCCAUGAUUGACUAUAGAAUAAUAACUCAUAGUGACAUACAAUCAAAUGGGUAUUGUUUGAUAACAGGCAAAGAGAUGAAAGAAGGGAAUUGUGUAUUUAUUUAACCUGAAAUGUAACCAUCAAGGAAUUAAUUUCACUCACCAAAAAAAUGUGAAUAGAUUUAUUAUCAGGUGUAUCCAAAUACUGUUACCACAACUGUAAAACAGACUGGCUGUGUUUGCAACUUGACCUUAAAAGGCACAGCCUAGAGUUUAUGUUCACUGAUUUUCAUCUUGACUUGGGAAGAGAGCUUUGCAUACUACGUAGAAGAAUAUCACCUACAAGCAGAGCUUUUUUGUGUGUGUACUCCAUCUUCUUUCCCCUCAGCUCUAAUAAAGUGCAUGGGCCAGCCUCUUGUAGUUUUGAAAACAAUGAUAUGUAUCCUUUGAAGUUUAGUGCCAAACAUGUUUUCCUACAGAGAAGGCUGCCCAAAACAUCUAAGCCCAAAUCUACAAGUGUCUGUAGGAUAAUCUCACCUGACAAUCCAAAGUAUCAUUUGAGACAGGAAUCCUACGGAUCAUAUUAAUUUUUAGUUUCUUAUAAUUUAACAUUCCUGCAACUUUCGGGACCCCUAACAGCAUUUUCACUGUGGCAGCUUCCCAACACCAGUUCCAGUAUUUGGAAGAACAAAGGAAACCAAACCAAACCAAACCAAACCAAACCCAAGAAACCCUUAACAAGUACCAAGUCUAACUUGGUUGAAGUGUCUCUGGAAAAAUGUUGAUGACUUAUACUUAUUUUUAGAUAUUUCAACGAGGAAAAAGUGGGUGUGAAAAGAAUUUUUCAGAAGAAAAAGCCUCCUUCUUCGUCAUUAUCUCAGGAAGUGUUAAUGUUUUGAAGGCAGUAUCAUUGCCUUAAAUAGUUGGAUCUUUAUGUAUGAUUCAAGGAUCACUGUGGAGACUCUUUUGUUCCCUUUCUGUUCCCACACAGAAAAACCAUAGUCAGUCCAAAGAGACUCCCCUAUGUCUGGCUGCUGUGCCUGAAAUCCCCAUCAUUAGAACUUCUACAGUUUGUGAGCCUGGAAAUUACAGGGUUGAUGACAGAGGAAACCAGUUCUCAUUGAAAAUGAAAGAUGGAGUCAUCUUAUCACCUCUUAGCAUCUUAGAAUGUACCGGUGGGAGCAAAUGAGUCGAGAAUAUCCCUAAGAAACCUGAACUUGAUCAUGAUUGGAAUGUCUUACAAAUAUUUUCCAGUGCUCAAGAAUCUUAAAAUUUUGGGAAAAAAUACAGAAGUCGUAAGUAAGUAUUUCCGCUCAAUAUUUUCAAAUUGGGGUAAAAGUCUCAGGGUAAG